rnacentral:hammerhead_ribozyme from 1 species
AUCCACCUGACGAGUCCCAAAUAGGACGAAAUGCGCGUCCUGGAU